GUACGAAGGGGGCUAGCGUUGCUCGGAAUCACUGGGCGUAAAGGGUGCGUAGGCGGGUUUUAAGUCAGGGGUGAAAUCCUGGAGCUCAACUCCAGAACUGCCUUUGAUACUGAAGAUCUUGAGUCCGGGAGAGGUGAGUGGAACUGCGAGUGUAGAGGUGAAAUUCGUAGAUAUCGCAAGAACACCAGUGGCGAAGGCGGCUCACUGGCCCGGUACUGACGCUGAGGCACGGAAAGCGUGGGGAGCAAACAGG
rnacentral:rRNA from 1 species